AAGGGAGUCCUAAUUCAGGUAGGAGACGAAAAAAAGUAGUCCCUACCAAGAAUCAAUCCCAAAAGGUCGGAGCGAGGCGAAAUUGGCUUUCAAACUAGGUUCUGGGUUCAAACAAGACCUGAAUCAGGAACAAGGGCUAUUAGCUCAGGUGGUUAGAGCGCACCCCUGAUAAGGGUGAGGUCCCUGGUUCGAGUCCAGGAUGGCCCACCUGCACAGGUGGCAAAAACAAAGAAAAGAAGCUCCGAAUCAGCACCUUAUCUUACUCAUAUAGUAAGAGAGAAUGCUGGCUCUGAGUUCAGAGUCCAGAGGAACCUUGAAAACUGCAUAGAGCUAGGUGAAAAAGCCAAAAAAGAAGACCGCAAGGUCAAGCUAAUAAGGGCUAACGGUGGAUACCUAGGCAC
rnacentral:tRNA from 1 species